rnacentral:rRNA from 1 species
GAGCACGUAGGUGGGUUUGUAAGUCAGAUGUGAAAGCUUUCUGUUCAACGGAAGAAUUGCAUCUGAAACUGCGAGUCUUGAGUGUAGGAGGGGAGAAUGGAGCUUCUGGUGGAGCGGUGAAAUGCGUAGAUAUCAGAAGGAACGCCGGCGGCGAAAGCGAUUCUCUGGCCUAUUACUGACACUCAGUGUGCGAAAGCUAGGGGAGCAAACGGGAUUAGAUACCCCGGUAGUCCUAGCCGUAAACGAUGGGCACUAAGUAGAGGGGUUUUA